rnacentral:tRNA from 1 species
UGAGGAUAUAGCUCAGUUGGUAGAGUGUUGCCUUAUAUGCACAAGGCCCUGGGUUCAAUCUCCAGCACCACAA